UACAGAGGUGGCAAGCGUUGUUCGGAAUUACUGGGCGUAAAGGGCGCGUAGGCGGCCUUCUUAGUCGGACGUGAAAUCCCCAGGCUCAACUUGGGAACUGCGUCCGAUACUGGAUGGCUUGAGUGCGGGAGAGGGAUGUGGAAUUCCAGGUGUAGCGGUGAAAUGCGUAGAUAUCCGGAGGAACACCGGUGGCGAAGGCGGCUUCCUGGACCGAUUACUGACGCUGAGGCGCGAAAGCUAGGGGAGCAAACGGG
rnacentral:rRNA from 1 species